rnacentral:rRNA from 1 species
GUGCAGCGCCGCGGUAAUACCGGCAGCCCGAGUGAUGGCCGAUAUUAUUGGGCCUAAAGCGUCCGUAGCUGGCCAAACAAGUCCGUCGGGAAAUCCACGUGCUUAACACGUGGGCGACCGGCGGAAACUGUUCGGCUUGGGGCCGGAGGACCCGAGGGGUACGUCCGGGGUAGGAGUGAAAUCCCAUAAUCCCGCACGGACCACCGAUGGCGAAAGCACUUCGAGAAAACGGAUCCGACAGUGAGGGACGAAAGCCAGGGUCUCCAACCGGAUUAGAUACCCCAGUAGUCC